AACGAACGCUGGCGGCAUGCCUAACACAUGCAAGUCGAACGAGACCUUCGGGUCUCGUGGCGCACGGGUGCGUAACGCGUGGGAACCUGCCCUUAGGUUCGGAAUAACUCCCCGAAAGGGGUGCUAAUACCGGAUAAUGUCUUCGGACCAAAGAUUUAUCGCCUUUGGAUGGGCCCGCGUUGGAUUAGCUAGUUGGUAGGGUAAAAGCCUACCAAGGCGACGAUCCCUAGCUGGUCUGAGAGGAUGAUCAGCCACACUGGGACUGAGACACGGCCCAGACUCCUACGGGAGGCAGCAGUGGGGAAUAUUGGACAAUGGGCGAAAGCCUGAUCCAGCAAUGCCGCGUGAGUGAUGAAGGCCUUAGGGUUGUAAAGCUCUUUUACCUGGGAUGAUAAUGACAGUACCGGGAGAAUAAGCUCCGGCUAACUCCGUG
rnacentral:rRNA from 1 species